UACGGAGGGGACUAGCGUUGUUCGGAAUUAUUGGGCGUAAAGGGCAAGUAGGUGGUCUUAUUUGUCCGAGGUGAAAUCCCUAGGCUUAACCUAGGAACUGCCUUGGAAACGAUAAGACUGGAGUCCUGGAGAGGGUCGUAGAAUUCCCGGUGUAGCGGUGAAAUGCGUAGAGAUCGGGAGGAAUACCAGAGGCGAAAGCGGCGACCUGGACAGGUACUGACACUCAACUGCGAAAGCAUGGGGAGCAAACAGG
rnacentral:rRNA from 1 species